AGGGGGGUUUGAUCAUGGCUCAGGAUGAACGCUGGCGGCGUGCUUAACACAUGCAAGUCGAACGAUGAACCUCACUUGUGGGGGGAUUAGUGGCGAACGGGUGAGUAACACGUGAGUAACCUGCCCUUGACUCUGGGAUAAGCCUGGGAAACUGGGUCUAAUACCGGAUAUGACUCCUCAUCGCAUGGUGGGGGGUGGAAAGCUUUAUUGUGGUUUUGGAUGGACUCGCGGCCUAUCAGCUUGUUGGUGAGGUAAUGGCUCACCAAGGCGACGACGGGUAGCCGGCCUGAGAGGGUGACCGGCCACACUGGGACUGAGACACGGCCCAGACUCCUACGGGAGGCAGCAGUGGGGAAUAUUGCACAAUGGGCGAAAGCCUGAUGCAGCGACGCCGCGUGAGGGAUGACGGCCUUCGGGUUGUAAACCUCUUUCAGUAGGGAAGAAGCGAAAGUGACGGUACCUGCAGAAGAAGCGCCGGCUAACUACGUGCCAGCAGCCGCGGUAAUACGUAGGGCGCAAGCGUUAUCCGGAAUUAUUGGGCGUAAAGAGCUCGUAGGCGGUUUGUCGCGUCUGCCGUGAAAGUCCGGGGCUCAACUCCGGAUCUGCGGUGGGUACGGGCAGACUAGAGUGAUGUAGGGGAGACUGGNAAUUCCUGGUGUAGCGGUGAAAUGCGCAGAUAUCAGGAGGAACACCGAUGGCGAAGGCAGGUCUCUGGGCAUUAACUGACGCUGAAGGAGCGAAAG
rnacentral:rRNA from 1 species